CGGACGGGUGAGUAACGCGUGGAAACCUGCCGUAUACUGGGGGAUAACACUUAGAAAUAGGUGCUAAUACCGCAUAAGCGCACAGCUUCGCAUGAAGCGGUGUGAAAAACUCUGGUGGUAUACGAUGGUUCCGCGUCUGAUUAGCUAGUUGGUGGGGUAAUGGCCUACCAAGGCAACGAUCAGUAGCCGGCCUGAGAGGGUGAACGGCCACAUUGGGACUGAGACACGGCCCAAACUCCUACGGAAGGCAGCAG
rnacentral:rRNA from 1 species